rnacentral:rRNA from 1 species
GACGAACGCUGGCGGCGUGCCUAAUACAUGCAAGUCGAGCGGAGCGGCGGACGGGGGAGUAAUGCCUAGGAAUCAGCCUGGUAGUGAGGGAUAACGUCCGGAAACGGGCGCUAAUACCGCAUACGAUCAGAUCAGCCUAGGGCGGAUUAGCUAGUUGGUGGGGUAAAGGCCUACCAAGGCGACGAUCCGUAACUGGUCUGAGAGGAUGAUCAGUCACACUGGAACUGAGACACGGUCCAGACUCCUACGGGAGGCAGCAGUGGGGAAUAUUGGACAAUGGGCGAAAGCCUGAUCCAGCCAUGCCGCGUGUGUGAAGAAGGUCUUCGGAUUGUAAAGCACUUUUAGUUGGGAGGCGUUACCUACAGAAUAAGCACCGGCUAACUACGUGCCAGCAGCCGCGGUAAUAC